AGUGAACGCUGGCGGUAGGCCUAACACAUGCAAGUCGAACGGCAGCACAGUAAGAGCUUGCGCUUUCGGGUGGCGAGUGGCGGACGGGUGAGGAAUACAUCGGAAUCUACUUUUUCGUGGGGGCUAACGUAGGGAAACUUACGCUAAUACCGCAUACGACCUACGGGUGAAAGCAUGGGAUCUUCGGACCUUGCGCGAUUGAAUGAGCCGAUGUCGGAUUAGCUAGUUGGCGGGGUAAAGGCCCACCAAGGCGACGAUCCGUAGCUGGUCUGAGAGGAUGAUCAGCCACACUGGAACUGAGACACGGUCCAGACUCCUACGGGAGGCAGCAGUGGGGAAUAUUGGACAAUGGGCGCAAGCCUGAUCCAGCCAUGCCGCGUGGGUGAAGAAGGCCUUCGGGUUGUAAAGCCCUUUUGUUGGGAAAGAAAAGCAGCAGGUUAAUACCCCGCUGUUCUGACGGUACCCAAAGAAUAAGCACCGGCUAACUUCGUG
rnacentral:rRNA from 1 species